GACAACCAGGCUGCUGCUGAGUCCGGCUCGGCCCGGAUGGGACCCGUUAGCACCAGGAAAAAUUCACCUGGAUUUACAAAGAUUUUAGCCACAAAGCUCAGGAUUCUGCUCCCAGUUCCGGGUCUGGGCUCCUUUUGCUUUAAUUUCAUGGUCCAGAACCAGAACCAG